rnacentral:rRNA from 1 species
CCGGGGGUGUUCACCUCUUCCCAUUCCGAACAGAGAAGUUAAGUCCCCCAUGGCCGAUGGUACUCGCAUCUAGCUGGGAGAGUAGGUAGCUGCCAU